GGAGAGUUACCCAAGUGGUGAAGGGGACAGUUUGCUAAACUGUUAGGUCGUGUAUGCGGCGCGAGGGUUCGAGCCCCUCACUCUCCGCCA
rnacentral:tRNA from 1 species